GGCCUCCUGGUGCUCACCACAGGCCAUGUUCUUACUCUCACUGCACAGACAGAGGAGGCAGAGUACACCACCCAUAUACACCUCAACCCGGGCCCUUUGCCUAGUUUGUACUAUGAAUGGGAGGACAUGG